rnacentral:rRNA from 1 species
UUCUAGGCUUAGAGUUUGAUCCUGGCUCAGGACGAACGCUGGCGGCGUGCCUAAUGCAUGCAAGUCGAACGCAGCAGGCGUGCCUGGCUGCGUGGCGAACGGCUGAAGAACACGUGGGUGACCUGCCCCGGAGUGGGGGAUACCCCGUCGAAAGACGGGACAAUCCCGCAUACGCUCUUUGGAGGAAAGCCAUACGGCGCUCUGGGAGGGGCCUGCGGCCCAUCAGGUAGUUGGUGUGGUAACGGCGCACCAAGCCAAUGACGGGUACCCGGUCUGAGAGGACGACCGGGCAGACUGGGACUGCGACACGGCCCAGACUCCUACGGGAGGCAGCAGCAAGGAAUUUUCCCCAAUGGGCGCAAGCCUGAGGGAGCAACGCCGCGUGGAGGACGACGGCCUUCGGGUUGUAAACUCCUUUCGGGUGGGACGAGCCUGACGGUACCACCAGAAGCAGCCCCGGCUAACUCUGUGCCAGCAGCCGCGGUAAGACAGAGGGGGCAAGCGUUGUCCGGAGUUACUGGGCGUAAAGGGCGCGCAGGCGGUGGGCUGCGUCGGCGCUGAAAGCGCCCCGCUUAACGGGGCGAGGUGCGCCGAUACGAGUUCACUCGAGGCAAGCAGAGGGUGGCGGAAUUCCGGGUGGAGCGGUGAAAUGCGUAGAGAUCCGGAGGAACGCCGGUGGGGAAGCCGGCCACCUGGGCUUGACCUGACGCUGCGGCGCGACAGCGUGGGGAGCAAACCGGAUUAGAUACCCGGGUAGUCCACGCCGUAAACGAUGCCGGCUCGGC